rnacentral:rRNA from 1 species
AUUGAACGCUGGCGGCAGGCUUAACACAUGCAAGUCGAGCGGAGAUGAGGUGCUUGCACCUUAUCUUAGCGGCGGACGGGUGAGUAAUGCUUAGGAAUCUGCCUAGUAGUGGGGGACAACAUUCCGAAAGGAAUGCUAAUACCGCAUACGUCCUAAGGGAGAAAGUAGGGGAUCUUCGGAUCUUGCGCUAAUAGAUGAGCCUAAGUCGGAUUAGCUCGGUGGUGGUGUAUAGGCCUACCAAGGCGACGUUCUGUAGCGGGUCUGAGAGGAUGAUCCGCCACACUGGGACUGGGACACGGCCCAGACUCCUACGGGAGGCAGCAGUGGGGAAUAUUGGACAAUGGGGGUAACCCUGAUCCAGCCAUGCCGCGUGUGUGAAGAAGGCCUUAUGGUUGUAAAGCACUUUAAGCGAGGAGGAGGCUACUGAGACUAAUACUCUUGGAUAGUGGACGUUACUCGCAGAAUAAGCACCGGCUAACUCUGUGCCAGCCGCCGCAGUAA